CCUCUUCGAUCUGCUGCGGGCAGAUGAAGUGGAUAUGGGUGUCGAUGCCGCCGGCGGUGAGGAUCAUGCCCUCACCGGCGAUGACCUCGGUGCUGGCGCCGAUGGCGAUGUUCACGUCGGGCUGGAUAUCCGGAUUGCCGGCCUUGCCGAUGGCGGCGAUGCGCCCGUCCUUGAGGCCGACGUCGGCCUUGACGAUGCCCCAGUGGUCGAUGAUCAGGGCGUUGGUGAUCAGGGUGUCCACCACCUCGGCGGCCAGCAACUGGCUCUGGCCCAUACCGUCACGG
rnacentral:sRNA from 1 species